rnacentral:rRNA from 1 species
ACGCACGCUGGCGGCGUGCCUCAUACAUGCAAGUUGAGCGAUGAAGAUUGGUGCUUGCACCAAUUUGAAGAGCAGCGAACGGGUGAGUAACGCGUGGGGAAUCUGCCUUUGAGCGGGGGACAACAUUUGGAAACGAAUGCUAAUACCGCAUAACAACUUUAAACAUAAGUUUUAAGUUUGAAAGAUGCAAUUGCAUCACUCAAAGAUGAUCCCGCGUUGUAUUAGCUAGUUGGUGAGGUAAAGGCUCACCAAGGCGAUGAUACAUAGCCGACCUGAGAGGGUGAUAGGCCACAUUGGGACUGAGACACGGCCCAAACUCCUACGGGAGGCAGCAGUAGGGAAUCUUCGGCAAUGGACGAAAGUCUGACCGAGCAACGCCGCGUGAGUGAAGAAGGUUUUCGGAUCGUAAAACUCUGUUGGUAGAGAAGAACGUUGGUGAGAGUGGAAAGCUCAUCAAGUGACGGUAACUACCCAGAAAGGGACGGCUAACUACGUG